rnacentral:lncRNA from 1 species
GUGCAGCCAACCAUGCAGUGCGCAGUCUGCGCACUGAGCAUCCAGGAGCUUGGAACAGGUGAAAGAUGUCGCAAAAAAGGACUUACCCUUCAGGGGCAGAAAAAAGAAAAAGGAAGAAAGAUAAAAACGACAAGAUAAAGGUAUGUCUUAGUAAUGUAACAUUUGUUGAUAUUUUGUUCCAAAUACGUUAGCCUAUAAUAGCAAAUUUGCUAGCUAACAUUAGUUCAAAACGUCUGACUAGGUUAGAUAGCUUACUAUUCAAGCUAACGUUUUUGUGUUUGUGUAAUACUUUGAAUAAGUUGAUUUUCAGUGUAUAUACAUUAUUCUGGGUCGCUCUUUGGCAUCAAAACAACGUUUUUGAUAACAGUUUGAUAGCAAAUGUUUAAUAACUAACGUUAAUUACAAACGCGGUGACAUUUGCUAGCAAUAUGGUUUUGCAUUAAUUAAUUAAUUUAGUUAACUAACUAGUUUGAGGUAUGUUGUUUGCAAUUGUUUGCUGCAGAGCACAGUAAAUUAUGUGAGUAAAUAAACAUAUUCCUUUUACAUCAUCUCCCUAAUAUGCUCAUACGUUAUAUGAAACUUCCCCAGGAGGACUGUUAAAAUAUUUUGGAGGCACUGACUCAGCCCAGGGGCAAUCCACCUCCUCAGGAGCAGCCAAGGCUGAUGAAUGAAGUGAUCAAAAACUGUCACCAUAUAUAUUUAAUUUCUAGUCAAAUUAUCUCAUUAAGAUAUACUAAUAUAAGAUAUAAUCAUAUGACAAGGGAUAUGUUUUUCAUCUUAGGUCCAUCUCUAUCCUCUGCUCCCACUGUGCCCACUGUCCUCUCUGCAACCUCAGCUGUACCUGGUCCAUCUCUAUUCUCUGUGCCCACUGUCCCUUUUGUGUCUUCUGCAACCUCAGCUGUACCUGGUCCUUCAUCUUUGGUCAUCGAGAUUGAUUUGUCGUCAUCAGCAUCCAGUUUGGAGCAGGGAUCAGCAGCUCUGCCAGUUGACCCAGCUGAGUGUCCCUCUUUCCUGUCAGACUCAGAAAGGACUGAACAGGUAUUAAGAGGGCCACUGCCUAUAGAGGACACAUUCAUAUUCCCAAAAAGACACGAUGGCCGAAGCCCAUUUUACCAAAGAUUUUGCACAUUUUUACAUAGUUUUCAGACCCAAUUCAUCUUAAUAUUUUAUUUAUAAACCAUUUGUCUUACCUUGUACCUAGUAUUUGUCUGCUUUUUAAAAAAUUAUUUCAUUUAAUACUGUCUGUUUCCGUACAUUUGGUGUUACAGUUUAUUUUAAAAAAUAAUAAUAAAGCAGAUUGUGUUUGCAGUAAACGAUUAGUUUAUUUUGUUACUUUUAAUUGGCCUAGAUCAGUGGUUCCCAACCCCCGGUCCGCAGACCGGUACCGGUCCGUGGAGCUGUUCCUACU